UGCACGUGUGAAGAAACAGAGGCAUGUGUCAUGAGGCUAGGGAAGAGUGGGAUGUGCGAGCACACGGCCGUCACUCAAAGAGAUGUCGAGGCACUUGUGGAGUGGCUCAUGAAGUCCUCUAACAGAGCAAAUAAGCUGAGUCCCUUUCCUCUUCUUCUCUGAUACAAGAUGAAAGUGUUUUGCAUAAAUUUAGGCAGUUUUUCUUUUGGAUUAAUUUAUAAUAUAAUGAAGUAGUAAUUCAUUUUCAGAACAAACAGCUCUGUAAUCAUGGCUCUCACUCCGUAAGCUUCAGCAUGCUUCUGACAGGCCCUCCUCCAAAACAGAACAUGUGAAGUGGUCUCUUAAUUGCUUGUUGUACGGAUUUAAUGAGGCCAUCCUAAUUUAUGAUAGUUUGGAUUUAAUAGCAAAUCUUCAUAAAUCCUCAUGUUUUCAUUUUCUGUUAGCAUCUUCCUAGCAUCUUCAGUGGACUUGCCUACAUGUCACGUACUUUUUAAGCUUACUUUUCGCACAUUAAUUUAAAAAGGGAAAAAAGUGUUUGGAACAGGCAGUAAUAAAACCCCCAGUAAUAGUGCUCUGCUGUAUGUUGCACAUAUAACUCAAGGCGCUUCCCAGAAGACAAGUAUCAUCCAUUUGACAUACAGAGAAAUGGGAACUAGGAAGUUCUCCUAAAUUUCUGGAGGUAACAAUGGCAGAACACAACGUAAGAUUUGAGAGUCUUGGACGAUUUCUCAGGCCAAUAGCCCUUUUCUUACUCCUGCAUGUUCUCGGUUAUGUUUUUCAGUACUGUCUUUGAGGAGGAGAGAUUUCGCAGAAGCUAUAGCUGGUUUUUGAAGACCUGAGUGCUCCUGAUGAUUCUGGAAACCCACCGGGGCUAUUUUGUGUAUCACUGAUAGGGUGCUCACAUCUCCUAAUACUCUGAGAAAAAGGGGGCACUGAAGAACUAUGUGAUCAGCUGAGGAUCAUUGAUGAGGUAUUACGUUGCAGAUCCUCAAGCCAAUUUUCCCAUAAUGGGUGGGAAUAACAAACCCAUGAGGCGCUACAGCUGCCAUGCUGGUAUGCCUGCACAACAAGGCAGAGGAGUGACUUUGACACAGGCGGCUGACCUGGCUAGCCAAAAUGGAAAUGUAACACAAGAGGUGUGAACAUGGGCUGACAACCAAGAAAAAAUGUCUACUCAGUCUCCUUCUGGUAAUGAACAUCAGAACAGUGUCUGAGCCAUGCACAACUGCAGCAAGAGAAGCAGCUGAUGUUUCCUCCUGUUACUUCACUUUGACAUCUCUUCAGUUUGCCUUGAUAAUGUGCUUUUUAUUUACACAUACACACACACUUUUUCUUCAAGAAUUCUAUGCUUGUCACACCUAAUGAUUUAUUCACUUGUCAACCUUUUUUUUAGGUUGACAAAUAUCCUUUAGAGAUAAGGCCUUUGAAAAUAUGGUGCCAGUAAUUAAAAUGAAGAAUGUGUUACAGUAAAAAGUAGAAACAUGGGUCUAAAAGCUACACUGGUAUUUGUAGUGAUUUGAGUAAUUGAGGAUUUCAGUUUAAUAAUUCAGUGCAGCUGAGAUUAAUAAAUGGUAUGAGGUAAAAGUGGUCUUGCA
rnacentral:lncRNA from 14 species